rnacentral:rRNA from 1 species
UACGAAGGGGGGCUAGCGUUGCUCGGAAUCACUGGGCGUAAAGCGCACGUAGGCGGCUUUCUAAGUCAGGGGUGAAAUCCUGGAGCUCAACUCCAGAACUUGCCUUUGAUACUGGAGAGCUUGAGUCCGGAAGAGGUGAGUGGAACUCCGAGUGUAGAGGUGAAAUUCGUAGAUAUUCGGAAGAACACCAGUGGCGAAGGCGGCUCACUGGUCCGGUACUGGACGCUGAGGUGCGAAAGCGUGGG